ACUUACUUUGAAUUGUGAGUCUUUGGAGGACUUUCUUUAGACGGCGCUCUUUCUUGUUUCGUUUCGUUGCUGUUGUUAUGGGUUCAAGCCUUUGUUUCUUCUUCAAACCAGUGGGUCAGAUUAAGACCCCUGUACAAUGUUCUGAAAAUCCUGAAGGAACAGGUGGAGUCAUAGUAUGUGAUGGGGAGAUAUUCGCCAUGAACCAACACAACCUGGGGGCUGUUCCCUGGAAGGCUGGUGUAAACUCAAAUGCUGCCUUAAGCGAAACACUGUCAUAAUUCCCCAACAUCUCAUGCACCCCUAAACAUGAUCAUUGAAUGACUAAAAGAUGGGUGUUUUGAUUAAUUAAUAAACUGCUUCAAAUAAAAGUAUA